GUGUCAGCAGCCGCGGUAAGACGUAGGAUGCGAGCGUUGUCCGGAUUUAUUGGGCGUAAAGAGUUCGUAGGCGGUUUGUUAAGUCUGAUGUUAAAGACUGGGGCUCAACCCUGGGAGUGCAUUGGAUACUGGCAGACUCGAGUGCAGUAGAGGCAAGCGGAAUUCCAGGUGUAGCGGUGAAAUGCGUAGAUAUCUGGAAGAACACCGGUGGCGCAAGCGGCUUGCUGGGCUGUAACUGACGCUGAGGAACGAAAGCUAGGGUAGCGAAUGGGAUUAGAAACCCCCGUAGUCC
rnacentral:rRNA from 1 species